UACGAAGGGUGCAAGCGUUACUCGGAAUUACUGGGCGUAAAGCGUGCGUAGGUGGUUCGUUAAGUCUGAUGUGAAAGCCCUGGGCUCAACCUGGGAAUGGCAUUGGAAACUGGCGACCUAGAGUGCGGUAGAGGGUAGUGGAAUUCCCGGUGUAGCAGUGAAAUGCGUAGAGAUCGGGAGGAACAUCUGUGGCGAAGGCGACUGCCUGGACCAGCACUGACACUGAGGCACGAAGGCCAGGGGAGCAAACGGG
rnacentral:rRNA from 1 species